rnacentral:rRNA from 1 species
GACGAACGCUGGCGGCGUGCUUAACACAUGCAAGUCGAACGGAAAGGCCCUGCUUUUGUGGGGUGCUCGAGUGGCGAACGGGUGAGUAACACGUGAGUAACCUGCCCUUGACUUUGGGAUAACUUCAGGAAACUGGGGCUAAUACCGGAUAGGAGCUCCUGCUGCAUGGUGGGGGUUGGAAAGUUUCGGCGGUUGGGGAUGGACUCGCGGCUUAUCAGCUUGUUGGUGGGGUAGUGGCUUACCAAGGCCUUGACGGGUAGCCGGCCUGAGAGGGUGACCGGCCACAUUGGGACUGAGAUACGGCCCAGACUCCUACGGGAGGCAGCAGUGGGGAAUAUUGCACAAUGGGCGGAAGCCUGAUGCGGCAACGCCGCGUGCGGGAUGACGGCCUUCGGGUUGUAAACCGCUUUCGCCUGUGACGAAGCGUGAGUGACGGUAAUGGGUAAAGAAGCACCGGCUAACUACGUG